rnacentral:rRNA from 1 species
AAGAAGCGGGGAUACUCCUAUAAGACGAAAAGACCCCAUGGAGCUUCAAACCCAACUACACCCUUAACUACCACAACCGCACAACCUCUUAGGGCCCUGUAUAGUUGGUUUUAGGUUGGGGCGACCACGGAGUACAACCAAACCUCCGCAAUGGACGGGACCACUCCCUUAUCUAAGAGCCACACCUCUAAGAAUUAAAACACUAACAUAAAAUGAUCCAUGAUCUGAUCAAUGAACCAAGUUACCCUGGGGAUAACAGCGCAAUCCAUUUCAAGAGCCCUUAUCGACAAGUGGGUUUACGACCUCGAUGUUGGAUCAGGGUAUCCUAGUGGUGCAGCAGCUACUAAUGGUUCGUUUGUUCAACGAUUAAAACCCU